GACGAACGCUGGCGGCGUGCUUAACACAUGCAAGUCGAACGGAAAGGCCUGCUUUCCCUUGUGUAUUGCGGGUACUCGAGUGGCGAACGGGUGAGUAACACGUGAGUUAUCUGCCCCCAACUUGGGUAUAAGCCUGGGAAACUGGGUCUAAUUCCCGAUAGGACUGCAGGGUGGUGCCUGUGGUGGAAAACGAUUUUCUAGUGGGUGGGGAUGAGCUCGCGGCCUAUCAGCUUGUUGGUGGGGUAAUGGCCUACCAAGGCGGCGACGGGUAGCCGGCCUGAGAUCGUGGACGGCCAAAUUGGGACUGGGACACGGCCCAGACGGCUACGGGAGGCAGGAGUGGGGAGUAAUGCAGCGCGGGCGGGAGCCUGAUGUAGCGAGGCGGCGUGGGGGAUGACGGCCUUGGGGUGGUAAACUCCUGGGGACCGCGAGGAAGCCACCUGGUUGGAAGGGUGGUGACGGUAGUGGUAGAAGAAGCACCGGCUAACUACGUG
rnacentral:rRNA from 1 species